rnacentral:rRNA from 1 species
GGAUUGUAGUCUGCAACUCGACUACAUGAAGCUGGAAUCGCUAGUAAUCGCGAAUCAGAAUGUCGCGGUGAAUACGUUCCCGGGUCUUGUACACACCGCCCGUCACACCAUGGGAGUUGGGAAUGCCCGAAGCCGGUGACCUAACCGAAAGGGAGGAGCCGUCGAAGGCAGGCUUGAUAACUGGGGUGAAGUCGUAACAAGGUAGC